UCUGGAAAGUUCUCACAGUGAAUUGAAAUACCACUUUUCCAAAGACAGUCUUUCCAAGGACAUUUUCGUCCUCUUAACUUUCAAAUGGAAUUUUCUUAGGCAUCUUUGAUAACAAGAGUGUUCCUACCCCAAAUGUCACAUCUGGAGGCCUGCAGUUUGAAACUAAACUAUUUUUGGAAUCACCAAAAUUUUCCAACCCAAACUACUCACAGGCCAGUGGCUAGGCUGUCUGCUCACUGCUUUGUUUUUCACUUUUAAAAAGGGUUGUAGGGAAGGUCUGUUCCUGAGGAUAUGUGUUGUUAUAAAAAUACCUACAAAUACCUAACAGUGCAGUUAGGCUUUCCUUUGGUGUCUCAGUAUUUUCUUUUUUCUCCAAGACUGCUAAGUAUGUCUGUGUGAUCAUGAAUGAAGUUAUUUAGCUCAGAGGUCUAUGCAACUAUGUAUUUUCAAUAGAACUGACAUUACUUGAGGUUAGCCCCAGGCUGCUGUUAUGGUGUUACGUGAGGUCAAAUCCUCCCAUACUGCACAAAGCUUUUAAUUUCUUCUUAAGUACACCCAAUAAGACUGACUCCGAAACUCCUCUCCAUAAAUAUUUAUCAUCCAGGACUGCACACACCCUUGCCUUUCUUAUUUGUUUAAUUAUCCAUGUAUUUUAAUGGGAGGAGAGGAGGCCUCCUGCUCCAGGCCAGAGCUCUCGUCACAGGCUUGAAUCGCCCAAGGUACAGAGGUUCAGGAAAAGAUUGGUACAAACACUUAGCAAGAGCAUCAUGUUGUAUGAAAACAGCCCUUUCCACACAUUCCUCUCUGGAAAGUAAGACACAUUUUGCAUAAGGGACAGGGACAAGCUGUGGCGUGGCUUUCAUGACCAUCCAAAGGUGCAUUUCACAGCCUUCUGGAGUGCUUUCAGCCACUGCCCCGACACAACAGCAGACUCACGUUAGGACUGGUCAUAUGCCUGUGUAUGAAGUUUCCUUGAACAGCAAGGUAGUUCUGCCAGGUGAUGCAGGUAGUUAAAGAUUUUACUCCACUGGAAGCACUAGAAUAUCCCAUUUUACUCCUGAUGUGCUAUCUUUUAAAAGAAAUACAUCAGUAUAAUGAACAUGGCAUCUGUGUAAAAGCAGAAAGGCAAGAAGUUCGAUCAUUCCCAAUGAUAAUACUCACUAAGUUUCAUUCAAACCAUCCAUUCACUGUCCAAUCUCCUCUAACUUUCUAUAUUUGCAAAUAUACUUGUCAAUAUUCUCCUUAGAUGCUCAAAACUGCUGCAACUGAGGCAAACAAAGAUUAUCAUUGACUUCCUACCUUCAUUAGAAUUACACAGUAUCUGAAGUUUUCGUUUUACCAAGUGACUAGAUGACUUUAUGCUAGAGCAAGAUACAACAUCAACAUUUUGUUGUUCCACAAGUGUUCAAGACUUAUGCUGUGUUAAAAUGCAUUACAAUACAGUGAAGGAAGAUCACUGAAAUCUUAUUUUUAGGUAGUUAACUUGAUAAGGAGAAAACAGCAGAUGGCAGCACCAGAUGCUAGUGACACGUCUGAUAGGUUUUUAGUAUCAGUGUUAUCUGCUGUCAAAAAAACUGUAACACAUACCCACAGCAAGUCAUUAAUACUCACUUACAUGUAGCAGACAUUUUGGUCUAUGAAAGAAUAAAAAACACACUCUGCUGUAGUGCAAGUCUGAGUUUCAGUAGUUCCAGACAUCACUUCCAUUGUCUGGGCUAUCACAGCAGAAUCCAGAACAGAAUUUCUGAGCUGAUGUGAUCCUUAAGAGUCUCUCAAGCACAGGGUGUUGUUUGUUUUACAUAGCCAGACAUGAUUAACUCAGAUGCGUUCGUGCAUUCUGAAAGCAAGGGCAGUUAGUGGAAGAGACGGCUUAUGGAGGCUGUUGAGUCUCCAGCUCUAAAGGCAUUUAAUGCUAAACUGAGUGUCAGUGAUGAUACUGGUCUAACUGAUCCUGCACUUGCUAAGGGAGAGAGAGCUCUAGGACAGACGCAUGAAGGCAAAAGUGCUUGCAGUUUUAAAGUUACAAUGCCCUUCACAUGGUGUACCACAAAAUCAGUCAGAUCUUUAUUUUUAAAAUGAGGAAAAUCCAGCUUUUUAAUUUAGGACAUCUUUCAUUGCAUAAAUUAAUUUGACAGUAGCAUUACAGUUCUUAAAUACAUUUAUAUAAGAGUUGGGGUUUUUUUCAGUUAUUCCUUCCCUCUGAUGUUUUGCUGAAUCAGGACUUUAAACAGGUGCUUAAAUAAUUCACUGUCACAGUGAGUAGGUCUGUUAAGUGAGACAUGGACUGCCCCAAAAUCUUUCCUGCCAGUACCAAAGCAGAUUGCCAUUUCACUCCACUGUU